UAAAUUUUUAAAAAUAUUUUUUUAUUUUAUUUAUUUUAAUAAAAGUAUUUUUAUUUUUAGUAUUUUUUAGAAAAAAUUAAAUUUAUUUGGUUAGUACUGUGAAGGAAAAAAAUUAAUAAAUUUAAAGUACUUAUUUUUAGGUUACCUUUUGUAUCAGGGUUUAUUAACUUUUUUAAUUUAUUAUUAUUUUCUCGAAAUUUCAAGAUAUAUAUUUAAUAUAUAUUAAAUGUUACAAUAUUUUUUUAAAAUUAAAUAUAGUGGAUAAAUUCUAUUCAAUUGAAAAUAUCUAGUUUUUUGAGAAAUAGAUUUAAUCUAUAAAUAAACAUAAACAUAUUUAUUUAAUUUUUUUUUAUUUACAUUAAAUAAAGGAUAAUCUUUAUUUAAAUUUUAAAAGAUUAAGGGAUACAAUAUAUUUUGUAGGAUUAAUAAUUUCCAUCUUUUAUUUUUUAAAAAUUAUUUUUAAAAUAUUUUUUAUUUUUUUUUCUUUAAAUUUUUAUCAAAAUAAGUUUUUUAAUUUCAAUGAUUUUAAAAAUAUGAUAAAAUUAGUAUAUUUUAAUAAUAGAAUAUAGUAACUCGGCAAAUAUAAUUUUCACCUGUUUAACAAAAACAUGUUCUUUUGUUUUAAAUAAAAGAUCUGGCCUGCCCAAUGAUUAUUUUAAUGGCUGCAGUAUUUUGACUGUACAAAGGUAGCAUAAUAAUUUGUCUCUUAAUUGGAGUCUGGUAUGAAUGGUUGGAUGAAAAAUUUACUUUCUUUAUUUUAAAUAUAAAAUUUAAUUUUUAAGUUAAAAAGCUUAAAUUUUUAUAUAGGACGAGAAGACCCUAUAGAACUUUAUUUUUUAUUAAAAAUAUAUUAUUUUGAAAAUGAUUUUUAUUUUUUUAUUUGAAAUUAUAUUGGGGUGAUAAAAAAAAUUUAAUAACUUUUUUUAUUUUUUUCAUUUAUAUAUGAUAUUUUGAUCCUAUAAUAUGGAAAUAAGAUUAAGUUACCUUAGGGAUAACAGCGUUAUUACUUUGGAGAGUUCAAAUCUAUAAAGUAGUUUGCGACCUCGAUGUUGGAUUAAAAUUAGUUUCAGGGGCAAAAUAUUGAUUACUAGGUCUGUUCGACCUUUAAAAUUUUACAUGAUCUGAGUUCAGACCGGCGUGAGCCAGGUCGGUUUCUAUCCUUAUUUUUAUAUAAUUUUUUAGUACGAGAGGACCAAAUUUUAGAAAUAAUUUUUUUUAUUUGAUUAAAAUU
rnacentral:rRNA from 1 species